AGCCCGCUCAGAAACUACAAAGGAAUUGACGGGGGCCCGACACAAGCGGUGGAGCAUGUGGUUUAAUUCGAUGAUACGCGAGGAACCUUACCUGGGCUCAAAUGUAUGUUGACGUAUUCUGAAAGGGAUACUUCUUCGGACAAUAUACAAGGUGCUGCAUGGUUGUCGUCAGCUCGUGCCGUGAGGUGUCGGGUUAAGUCCCAUAACGAGCGCAACCCCUAUCAUUAGUUGCCAUCAGGUCAAGCUGGGGACUCUAAUGAAACUGCCUACGCAAGUAGUGAGGAAGUGGGGAUGACGUCAAAUCAGCACGGCCCUUACGUCCAGGGCUACACACGUGCUACAAUGGCCGGUACAAAGGGCAGCUACCUGGUGACAGGAUGCUAAUCUCAAAAGCCGGUCUCAGUUCGGAUCGGAGUCUGCAACCCGACUCCGUGAAGCUGGAAUCGCUGGUAAUCGCGCAUCAGCCAUGGCGCGGUGAAUACGUUCCCGGGCCUU
rnacentral:rRNA from 1 species